rnacentral:rRNA from 1 species
AUUGAACGCUGGCGGCAGGCCUAACACAUGCAAGUCGAGCGGAUGAAGGGAGCUUGCUCCUGGAUUCAGCGGCGGACGGGUGAGUAAUGCCUAGGAAUCUGCCUGGUAGUGGGGGAUAACGUCCGGAAACGGGCGCUAAUAUCGCAUACGUCCUGAGGGAGAAAGUGGGGGAUCUUCGGACCUCACGCUAUCAGAUGAGCCUAGGUCGGAUUAGCUAGUUGGUGGGGUAAAGGCCUACCAAGGCGACGAUCCGUAACUGGUCUGAGAGGAUGAUCAGUCACACUGGAACUGAGACACGGUCCAGACUCCUACGGGAGGCAGCAGUGGGGAAUAUUGGACAAUGGGCGAAAGCCUGAUCCAGCCAUGCCGCGUGUGUGAAGAAGGUCUUCGGAUUGUAAAGCACUUUAAGUUGGGAGGAAGGGCAGUAAGUUAAUACCUUGCAGUUUUGACGUUACCAACAGAAUAAGCACCGGCUAACUUCGUG